GCCGAGUAUCAGACAAAAAAAUCAGAAGAUUUGCAGAGGAGACUUGUUGAUGCACACGCAUCCAUUUAUCAUAUUGAAAUAAUUGAGAAAGUAAGACUUGAAGUUCAUCAAUUACACGAUUUGGACAUCAAGCGUGCAAUGGCAGGGCCAACUAUGGGAGUCAAUCUUGAUAUCCCAGAAUCUAUUGGUCUGUCAGCACCCUUACCUGCUCCAUCAUCGUCAAGGCUAGUUGAUAUAGACACCAGAAGACGUGGGAAACGGAGAAUUUAAUAUUUUAUUCUUGUGCAGACAAAUCCAUUAUAUUAAAUUGGAGGCUAUUGCUCCGAGUUCCUAGUGGGUUGAAGGAUGUAGCAGAUAGUGUUUCAAGCUUACCACUUACCAGCAAGGUUUUGUAUCAUGUGCAUCACUGUUAAAGAUUAUGUACAGUUGAUUAGGAUGUUAUUCAUAAGUUAUACGAUGGAAUAGAUGUUAGAACUCACCAGUUAACAUAAGAAUAGGGUUUAAUUUUUGUAUCGAAAGAGGAAAAAAAAAGUAGAAUAGGUUUUUAAAGCAGUCCCGUAGGAUUUCGUGUUUGAUUAAGCUGUUUAUAGCAUUUUUCAAUUCAUGGAAGUCAGUCUGCUCUCUUGUUUAAAGAUGUCUUGCUGUAAAUUAAUUGCAAAGUUUUAGUGAAAUGGAGUUUCAUGUACACCACACUUUGAUGUAAUCUUUUGUUCUUUGUCAAAAUUAAACCUCGAGAUUGUAUCAUUCAUGGUUGUGCCCCAUCUACUUUACAAAGGAACUUCAUUUUCCCUAA